rnacentral:rRNA from 1 species
GCUUGACNUGAACCGNAACNCCUAGAGAUAGGUGCCCCACUUGUGGUCGGUUUACAGGUGGUGCAUGGUUGUCGUCAGCUCGUGUCGUGAGAUGUUGGGUUAAGUCCCGCAACGAGCGCAACCCUCGUUCCAUGUUGCCAGCGGGUUAUGCCGGGGACUCAUGGGAGACUGCCGGGGUCAACUCGGAGGAAGGUGGGGACGACGUCAAAUCAUCAUGCCCCUUAUGUCUUGGGCUUCACGCAUGCUACAAUGGCCGGUACAAUGGGUUGCGAUACUGUGAGGUGGAGCUAAUCCCAAAAAGCCGGUCUCAGUUCGGAUUGGGGUCUGCAACUCGACCCCAUGAAGUCGGAGUCGCUAGUAAUCGCAGAUCAGCAACGCUGCGGUGAAUACGUUCCCGGGA